GCCUUAGUACGGCGAGUGAAGCGGCAAAAGCUCAAAUUUGAAAUCUGGUACCUUCGGUGCCCGAGUUGUAAUUUGGAGAGGGCAACUUUGGGGCCGUUCCUUGUCUAUGUUCCUUGGAACAGGACGUCAUAGAGGGUGAGAAUCCCGUGUGGCGAGGAGUGCGGUUCUUUGUAAAGUGCCUUCGAAGAGUCGAGUUGUUUGGGAAUGCAGCUCUAAGUGGGUGGUAAAUUCCAUCUAAAGCUAAAUAUUGGCGAGAGACCGAUAGCGAACAAGUACAGUGAUGGAAAGAUGAAAAGAACUUUGAAAAGAGAGUGAAAAAGUACGUGAAAUUGUUGAAAGGGAGGGGCAUUUGAUCAGACAUGGUGUUUUGUGCCCUCUGCUCCUUGUGGGUAGGGGAAUCUCGCAUUUCACUGGGCCAGCAUCAGUUUUGGUGGCAGGAUAAAUCCAUAGGAAUGUAGCUUGCCUCGGUAAGUAUUAUAGCCUGUGGGAAUACUGCCAGCUGGGACUGAGGACUGCGACGUAAGUCAAGGAUGCUGGCAUAAUGGUUAUAUGCCGCCCGUCUUGAACCACCGGAACCAAA
rnacentral:rRNA from 1 species